UGCGUAGGCGGAAUAUUAAGUCAGUGGUGAAAUCCUGCGGCUCAACCGUAGAACUGCCAUUGAUACUGAUAUUCUUGAAUGUAGUUGAGGUAGGCGGAAUAUGUAAUGUAGCGGUGAAAUGCUUAGAUAUUACACAGAACACCGAUUGCGAAGGCAGCUUACUAAACUAUGAUUGACGCUGAGGCACGAAAGCGUGGGGAGCGAACAGGAUUAGAUACCCUGGUAGUCC
rnacentral:rRNA from 1 species